GCCAAGUAGCGGUGCAGCAGCGAGAUGGCAGCUGCUCUUGGGAUGCUCGUGUCCAAGUAUCUCCUUAUUUUACACCUGCACCUUGAAUAUCAAAUGGCCUUCACGUCUCUCUGGUUGAUUUAACUGGCUCUCCUUACCUCCCCUUCUUUUUGUCUCCCCUUCUUCCUUUAUGUCUGCUUUCACCCCUUUUUCCAGGUGGUCCCCAAACAGCUCCUGAUAAAGUGUUCAUCUCCGAAAACCCUGUUCCAGGCACUCCGCGGGCGGUCACCAACAGCCAAACGCAAAGGCCUUCCUACUCGAGGAACUAAUGGGCCACAGGACCAGCUUUUGGAAAUACAAAUUUGAUCCUGCCUAUGACAUAUGAGACCAGCCCACGGCUUUCCAUUGCUCUUAAGAUAAGGAGCAACUCCCUCAAAGCCCUGAGUGGACAGCCUUGCUUCCUCCCCCGCCACACCCCACAAACACACUACCCCUCUGUUUACGUCUCUCGGACAUUUGUCACCUCCUCGAAUGGACCAACCAGGAUCUCAGUGUUUAAGCCUGAUAGAGUCCUCUUUUGCCAUUCAGAGUCCUUGUCCCGAGUCAUAGGUACACUCCUGUGAUGAUGGAUUAGUGCUGACCUCCCCCACCCGACUGUGAAUUGCAGGAGUGUGGGGAGGAGGUUAGAGGUCCCUGGACAGCUGGAGGCCGGCUGGGUGUUGGACCCAUGAGACUGGAGCCAGAAGAAAGGUCAUGGCCAGUGAAGAAGAAAAGGUCAUGGCCAGUGGAUGCCCUGGGCUGAUAUGGUCCUCGUGAAGAGGAAGAGGGGAAGGAGAGAAAGGAGCCGGCAGAUGGUGACUCUCCUGCCUGCUUCAGCUUUACAAGCAAAACACCUACUUUCAGCUUGGAAAGAAUCAAUGGGCAGGCCACGCGCAGCCUGCCACGUCAGGGAGCCGGGGGGCGCUCUGCGCCAAGGCAGCAAUCCUCACGAAGGACCAGGGGUAGGAAUGGGGAGAGGCGCUCUGAAUGGAGGCACCCACCCUCCAACUCCGAAGGAACAAGAGCUGACUCAGAAGUUGAGGAAGGUGUGGCUGGAGAUGUGGCUGUUGGGCAACGUCGUCGGCACGGUCACCAGCAGCGACUGCCGUCUAAGAACCAAGUCCAAGAGAAGAAGGAAGAGAAGGCUGGCUGUGGUGGGCCUUGUGACGGCUGCCGGCUGCCGGCUGCCGGGGUCGUUAAAAUCAAAGCUCCCUCCCGAGCCCUCCGUCCCAGCCCCAUCUGUGUAGCUCAACCGUGACUUUCAUCUGUUUUCUUCCCUGUGACCAGAGACCUGAGGAAUGAGUCCAGGAGGAAAGACAGAGAAAUCCAUCCAGAAGCACAGAAUCCGGAGACUCGGGGCCUCCCUGGUCACGUCCGACCGCACGCAUUGCUGCUGUUCGGGGGGACCCCUGGCGCCCACGAAUGGGGACACCAGUGGAGGCGUGAAGAAGUCCCCGGCAUCUUCCCCUAGUUCAGACACUCAAGGAUUCCUGCAUUUGGUGACCCUGGCCCCCCCUCAGCUCCCUAGGAGCCAGGGUCUCUUGGAUCCCCUCUGGAAAAACCGCUGCCUCCAUCGCCCGGGGCGGGGGUGGUGCACAGUCCCAGUUGGACGCCCACCUGGGGAUGGGGCCAGCCAGGCAGCCAGCAGGAGCCGAGAGAUCAAGCGAGAGGAGACCUGCUGAAAUACUAGUUGAGGCCUUCUUCUCGUUGGUAAAAUCAGACCAGGCUUCGGAGCUCGGGAGGCGAAGUCCCAAAGCUCCCCUCUGAGAACAGUUCUGUUCAGGACCUCGGGUUCCAAGUGUCUCGGCUUCAAUGGCAAGAACAAAGCAAGAAGGGCAGGAGUUGGGGUAGAUUUGUCUGGAUUCACAAAGCCUCAUUUGAGGAUCCAGUGCCAAACCCCGAGGACUCCGAGCCUCGAGCGGGGGUGGCAAGCCUUCUCCAGAAAGGGCCAGAUAGUCCUUGUCUCCACUCCUCAGCCCUGCCCUUGGGGGGCAAACAGGUGUGGUUGUGGCCCAAUGCAACUUCAUUUACAAAAUAAACUGUCACCAGAUUUGCCACACAAACCCUAGUUGCCAGCUCUGCCCUAGAGAGUAUUUGGAACCCGGAGACCGGGAAGAAGAAGAUCCUUUUGUGGUCUGGAAAGAAAGCCCUGGAAGGGAUGGGAAAGUAAAAAGCAAGAGAAUUGAAAUGCUAGUGUUGCCUUCACGUCUUUGCCCUUGUCUCCACGUUGAAUCUGAGUGGAAGAGGGAGUUAGGAAUAAAUCCCAGAGAGUCUUGGAGAUCUGGGAGCGGAGGGUCGUGGGCCCAGAACAUUCCACAUAACUGUAGGAGGAACCAAUCCCAAGGAAUACCCCACAUCAACACAGCAUGGCCACCAGAAAGGAAGAAAGGCACUGUGGGUGGUUUAGCAGAGGAGGUCAGAGCCAGGCCUCUCACGUCUCCAGGUCUUCUUUGGCUCCCACAGGGCAAAGAGGAAACCUGAGCUUUGCACACACACAAGGCGGCUCUGGAGGGUCCCUGGUGAGAACCAAGAUGAGCCGACCCCAUAGCCCACAGCAGAGCCGGGCAGUGCGCUGCCCAGACGGAAGUCGCCCUUGGCUUGAGCCAAGUGAACACCUGGUGGGCAGAGAAAGCCCACCCAGAGCCCAGGCUGGUCCCCAAGACUAGCCUCGCCCAGAGGACGGACAAGUGACAUCAAUUUGGGGCCUCAGAGCAGGGGGGACGGGGCGAGACCUGAGCGUCGGGGCCCAGGGCUUCCGAGGGUUUCCCUCCACAGCCUCUUCGGCUGGGGGUGAGUGCUCCUCCAGCCUCCCUCCGAAUAAUUCAUUACUUAGCUAAAGAAUGACCUCGGCCAUGUCCUCUUGCUCCAGGCCUUGCUUAUCUCGUGGACAUCCAAGCCUUGCGGGCUGGCUGAGAUGGCUGGUGGAGCUGUCAGUCCCCCUUGAACCCGAGGCCGAGAGCACUGUACCUUUUUAAUUGUCACAGCUUCAAAUUCAUGUAAAUAGAUGAAAUGCAAACUGAAUUUCGCGCAGCGGGGCGCAGGGAGAGGGCCUGGUUGGUGCGGGGCCGGGGACACUGGGUCCUGCCGCCCUGGAGCCCUAGGGUCCCGGCGUCUGCAAACAGUUUGCACCAAGUGCAAUAGUUGGAAGCGGGGGAAGCGGUGGCUUAAGGUGAGGGCUCACCUGGAUUAGCCUUCUCUGGCUGCUGCAACAAAUCACCGCCAACCUAAUGGCUUCAAACGACACGGAUUUAUUGUCUUACAGUCUGGACGUCGGAAGUCCUAAAAUCGGGGUGCUGGCAGGGUUGUAGUUCUUCUGGGGGCUCUAGGGGAGAACCCAUUUUGGCGACUUCUCGGGGCCACCUGCAUUCUUUGUCUCACGUCCCCUUCCUUGAUUUACACUAACCUCUGUUUCUGUCAUCAUGUCUCUCUGUCCCUCUGACCCUCCUGCCUCCCGCUUAUAAAGGGCUUUGGGCACGAUGUCGGGGCCACCCAAAUAAUCUAGGGCAACCUCCCUAGUCAACAGCAAGUCCCCUUUGGCACAUGGUAACGUACUCGCAGGCUCCAGAGGUCAGGACGAGGUCGCGGGGACGGGGAGGAGGUGUUUAUUUAGUCCACAACACCAGCCGUGGCGCGAUGCCAAAACCAGAGCAAGCCUGCCCAGGAAGACUUCCCUUGACCUGCUUGACCCUGGGUGAGAAACUCUGGGUCUGGUCUGGGCUCCCCAAAAUGGGCAGCUAGAGCCUGUGUGUCCUUUCCUCUCCCCUUGCCCCACCUUGGUCUAGGUUUGCUCACGGGCUGUUAGGAAGGAAGUGAGGCUGGGCCUGGGGGCCUGGGAGGGCACACCCCACGCUGGGAAAUGUCCUUCCUACAGGGAAGGGCCCCGGGCUGGGCUCCUGACCCGAGGGCCUCCUGGAAGUGCGUUCUGGGAAGUGGAGCCCGGCGUCCAGCCCUGUGGGUACCUGAGAGCCACGGAGUGGAGAUGGAGACGCCAUCUGCCUGCGGCCUGGGGAACUGCUUGAGAGGCACGACAGCUGGAGGGAGACCCUGCACACCCCCUGCCAUCCGGCUUCGUUCUCUCCUUCCUUGGUCUGGGAGCUCCCCUAUACCGUUCAGACAGAUCUUUUCAUAUCUGAGCCACAACAGAGCUGAAUUCGAGUUCUAUCCUUUGGCACUGUUAGGCCCAAGCAGAACAAGGAAUAAAGAUGACCACUUCUGGUAUGAAAGCUGAGGUAAUUAGGACCGAUGUACCCGCUGAGGACAAGUCAAAGAACUGGGUGAAAUAACAAAAAAAAAAAAAUCAUCAAAGAACAAACAAGGGAGUAAUUGCUGAGGUUGAGUCAAGGUGAGGAUCAGAACCCAGAAGCCCAGAACUCAAAGCUGUCUUUGUCCUGAGGGUACUUGCUGAUACAAAAAAAAAGGGGGGAGGGGGCAGUUGAAAACCAAGCAGGUGGAUUUCCAGGCUCAAGAAGACAAAAGUCAAAACCUAGAAUCCACCAAAAAUAUGUACUGUGUUAAAACAUCUUUUUUUAAUGCUGGGACCCCAAAGGGCCUCAGAAUAAGUUGAGUUGAAAGAAAAUCUUGCAGGGACCCACAGCCCAGGUUUACCCUGCCCAGGUGGGUGAGGAAAACUCAAGACUUGAACUUGGAUGAAGGGAGCACUGGACUAGUAAUACCCCAGGCACCCAACAAAAAUAAAUGAAAAUGCUCCCAGAAUGCAUAUGUCCUCACCUAGGGGUCCUCGUUAUUACUACAGCGCUCCCAAUACAACGAUCAGCACCCAGCGGAAGACAACCAGACACACUCAGAAACCAGAAACCGUAAGUUAAAAAGAGCAGAAAGGCCAGACAGCACAAAUAGACACACAAAGACCUACCGAUUAUCAUAUGCAAACUAUAAAACAGCUACACUGAUUAUAUUUGUAGAAAUAAAACACAGGCCUAUAAGUUUUAACAGGGACCUGGAAAUUACAUUCGAAAAGUAAGGGCAGCCUGGGUGGCUCAGCGGUUUAGCACCGCCUUCAGCCCAGCCCUGGAGGCCCAGGAUCGAGUCCCACGUCGGGCUCCCUACAUGGAGCCUGCUUCUCCCUCUGCCCGUGUC